GGAUGUGAGUGACCUGGCUGUGACGUGGGUCAGCUUGUUGACCACCAGGGUUGGUGGGGCUGAUGCAGCUGGGCAGGGGGUGCCCCUUCCACCCUCACCGCUGCGUCUGUGCCCUCCCAGGACUGAGUGCGCAGGUGAAGAAAACGACCUUUCCCAGUAGAGGAGAGCGGGGUUGUGGCAAGGGUGC
rnacentral:snRNA from 1 species